rnacentral:rRNA from 1 species
GCUAUAUUUUUAUAGAGAGUCGUGCCUGCCCAGUGAAGUUUAAACGGCCGCAGUACCCUGACUGUGCUAAGGUAGCGUAAUCAUUUGCCUUUUAAUUGGAGGCUAGUAUGAAUGGCUUAACGUAAAUCUAACUGUCUCUUUUAUAAUAAAUAGAAAUUAAUCUUUAGGUGAAGAAGCCUAAAUUUAUUCAUAGGACGAAAAGACCCUGUCGAGCUUUAAAUUUUUAUUUAAUUUUUUUCUUUUGUAGAAGAAUUGUUUUUAUUUAUUUUGUUUGUUGGGGUGACAGAAGAACAUUCAAAGCUUCUUCUAAUUGAAUUAAACUUUUUAGUUUGUUGAUCUUCUAAUGGAAAAAAAAAGAAUAGUUACCGCAGGGAUAACAGCGUAAUUUUUUUGGAAAGUUCAAAUUAAAAAAAAAGUUUGCGACCUCGAUGUUGGAUUAGAAUUCCUAAUAAGUGCAGAAGCUUAUUGUGGAGGUCUGUCGCCCUA